AGAUUGAACGCUAGCGGGAUGCUUUACACAUGCAAGUCGAACGGCAGCGCGGACUUCGGUCUGGCGGCGAGUGGCGAACGGGUGAGUAAUAUAUCGGAACGUGCCCAGUAGCGGGGGAUAACUACGCGAAAGCGUGGCUAAUACCGCAUACGCCCGUACGGGGGAAAGGGGGGGAUUCUCGGAACCUCUCACUAUUGGAGCGGCCGAUAUCAGAUUAGCUAGUUGGUGAGGUAAAGGCUCACCAAGGCGACGAUCUGUAGCGUGGUUUGAGAGGACCGACC
rnacentral:rRNA from 1 species